rnacentral:rRNA from 1 species
CGGACCUCCGGGAGAAAGCGGGCCUCUUCAUGAAAGCUCGCGCACCUGGACGAGCCCGCGUCCCAUUAGCUUGUUGGUGAGGUAACGGCUCACCAAGGCUCUGAUGGUAGCUGAUCUGAGAGGAUGAUCAGCCACACUGGAACUGAGACACGGUCCAGACUCCUACGGGAGGCAGCAUGGGGAAUUUUGGUCAAUGGGCGAAAGCCUGAACCAGCAACGCCGCGUGAAGGAUGAAGGCCCUCGGGUCGUAAACUUCUGUCAGGAGGGAAGAACGGCCUCCCGGUCAAUACCCGGGGGGUGUGACGGUACCUCCAAAGGAAGCACCGGCUAACUCCGUG